AGUUGUGGAGAAUUGUGGGCAUUGUAGUUCGUUCCACAGUUGAGUGACGCACCCGGAAGUAACGUGGUAAAGAAGAGAGGUCACUUUGCUUCUGUUUUGUAAUGUUUUGAUUUAGCAACACUGCUGAUAAUUAUGGAAGCAACCAAAGCAGAGGAGCCUUUCCUGAGGCAUGUGGAGACGGAUGUACUCAUCCCCAAGAUGGUGAGGGAGAAAGCCAAGGAGCUCUGUGCUGAAAAGGUUACAGCGUUCAACCACUGUUGUAAAGAGACUGGCUUCCUGAUGGUGGUAAUUUACUGGCUAAAUCUGUCUCCUUCCAUCCAUCUGGUUUCAGCGUUCAACCACUGUUGUAAAGAGACUGGCUUCCUGAUGGUGUUCAAGUGUCGGGAUCAGAACGCUGCCCUGAAGGAGUGUCUGACCGUACACUACAGAGACUCUGCGUUAUUCGAGGAGUGCAAGCAGGAGUACAUCAAGGAGAAGCUGGAGUACCAGAGGACAGGGGUGGCGGCUAAGAACCGCUCACAAAAACUACCAACCAGCAUGUAGGUUCCAAAUUGACCCCUGACCCCUGACCAUGUUGCUUCCACAUGUCCAAUCCUCUCAGAUCUACGGGAUUGGUUCGGUAGCAGGGGCUAGGGGUCACGGAGGGUGGCAGGGGGAGUGAGGGCUACUCACGGGGCUUUACAGUGUGUGUAUUGUACAUCCGGUUGGGAUGCUCAUUGCCCCAACGGGAGGAACUAGAUCAACGAAGUGGCAGGAGACAGGAGGUCAUCCUAGGCCCUAAGUGACCUGUGUAACGACUACGAGGCAGAUUGGCAAGGUGUGUCUAAAGGCCUCCGUUCACCUGUAUGUAGGGAAAAUAAAUCUCUUACAGAUACGUGUUCCUCAACAGAGUCUCUCUGGUUGAUCUGAUCUAACAGCCAUGAUGGAAAAAUCACACUGUUCCUCCUAUUUCAGAAUGAUCCAAUAAUGUUUUGUUGUUGAUGCUGUCUGUCUGCUCUGCAGUUUGUAUAUUUAUGAAGAAUUUUUUCUGUCAAUGCUUUGGAAACGUUUUCAUGUUGAGUUUGUUAGCAACCAAUACUGUCCAAAGUGAGAUUGAUUCCAAUGAUAUAAGACCUGUCCAAAGUCCAUGAAUAAUAGUCAAGGUGUUGACAUCCCAACAUCCUCCACUCUGAGAAUGUUCCGGAAGGUUCAUAAUUAUACACAAGAUUGAUACUGCAUAGAGGCUUUAUCCCGUAGUUAGGAUUCACCGGUGGGUUGCCGUAACUACUGGUGUGAUGACCGGUGAAGCAUUAUGGGUAGAGUUGUUGUAAAAAAAAAGGUCUGAUUUUUAAUAUAACAUUUGACUUGACAUUGUGUUAACGUACAUAUAAAUAAAGACAAACAGAUCUUCUAG